UUACUUGUUUUUUUUAAAAAUCCUGGCCAUUUUUCAUUUUUGAAGCAUUAACGACUACGUUUCCCAGAAACCUUUUCGAGCACUGCGCCAAAUCAUCCAGCACGCGCUCCACCCACCGGCUCAGUCAGCGCGUGUCACUUCAACGACUCGCGUGAGCGAGGCGGCGGCAGUAGCAGCAUCACAGAAAGCAGCAGCUCCGCCGCAUUAGCGAACAGGUUGCCAGGUUUGGAAGGUGACUUGGCUCCGGAUCUCCAAUAUCCAUCAACUCUGAUGCCUUUGCUGACCUCCAUACAGCUGGUUCCAUCCUACCCUCACACAACUCUUUUGAAACCUGUGCACGAAGGGUUCCUGACAUGAAUCUUUUGGACUGGCCAGUGUGCAGGGAGAUGUCGGCACCUUGGAUGGAGCACUGGAGCACCAUUGGGCUGUUGACCGUUGGCUCUCUGUCACAUGUCAUUUUAACAUGGCCUUGACACUCUUUACAGAAGCCUUUGAUAUCAAUGUACUUACUAGUGACAGUUGGAUAAACUUUUGUUCUUUGCAAUACAAAUGUACAUGUGCUUUUCAACUUUUUCCAAACCAGAUCAUUAAUUAUGUGACUCCAAGUGCCAGGUUUUAAAAUUGUGUAUUCCCUUUUGCCAGAUGAUGAAAACUUGUCAUUGUAUUCAACUCUUUCUGGUAUAUAAAUUUAAUCCAUUCUUCAAAUGGAACUUCAAGCUGAAAAUCUGUAAAUUGAGCAAAUAAAGUUUUUGCAGAGUAAAACCGGAAGUGCACUGCAGCGUCAUUGGAUUUAGAACAAGAAGAAAUUUGUCUCAUUUCAAGAGAUGUUUUUAGAUAGUAAUGUUUUCUCACCAAUAUAACUUUCUCCACAAUAAUUGAAUCCUGUCAAUACAUAAUUUCAAAUCUUUUUUUUUUCCGCUUUGAGUUACCAUGACAGCUAGAAAAGACAAAGUGUUAUUUCACAAAAUAAAACCAUACUAUGAACAUUGCUUUCUUCCUAAUAUAAUGGGCUUUUAAGUUUUCAUGGAUUACCAAGGGAUCCUGAAGUAAGAAGACGGUCGCUUGUAAAUAUUUGUCGCUACCAGUUCAAGCUAACGCCGCACAGCAAAGUUUACAGCCUUCACUUCACUCCGGAUCAACUUCUUCAGCCUAA